rnacentral:rRNA from 1 species
AUUGAACGCUGGCGGCAUGCCUUACACAUGCAAGUCGAACGGCAGCACGGGUGCUUGCACCUGGUGGCGAGUGGCGAACGGGUGAGUAAUACAUCGGAACGUACCUUAUCGUGGGGGAUGACGCAGCGAAAGCUGUGCUAAUACCGCAUACGCCCUGAGGGGGAAGGCGGGGGAUCGCAAGACCUCGCGCGAUUAGAGCGGCCGAUGCCUGAUUAGCUUGUUGGUGGGGUAAAAGCCCACCAAGGCGACGAUCAGUAGCUGGUCUGAGAGGACGAUCAGCCACACUGGGACUGAGACACGGCCCAGACUCCUACGGGAGGCAGCAGUGGGGAAUUUUGGACAAUGGGGGCAACCCUGAUCCAGCAAUGCCGCGUGAGUGAAGAAGGCCUUCGGGUUGUAAAGCUCUUUUGUCAGGGAAGAAACACCGGCUCUAACACAGUCUGGGAAUGACGGUACCUGAAGAAUAAGCACCGGCUAACUACGUGCCAGCCGCCGCCGUAA